rnacentral:rRNA from 1 species
UACGGAGGGUGCAAGCAUUAAUCGGAAUUAUUGGGCGUAAAGGGCGCGUAGGCGGCCUGCUAAGUCACACGUGAAAUCCCUCGGCUCAACCGGGGAACUGCGUGUGAUACUGGCGGGCUUGAAUUCGGGAGAGGGAUGUGGAAUUCCAGGUGUAGCGGUGAAAUGCGUAGAUAUCUGGAGGAACACCGGUGGCGAAGGCGGCAUCCUGGACCGAGAUUGACGCUGAGGCGCGAAAGCUAGGGGAGCAAACGGG